GCCACCCACCAGGGGCACCUGAAAAAAGGUUUACACCUGUGUUUAAGGAUGCUUUCCUGAACUGGGGUCUUAAUCUCUGUGUCACAGUUUCAGUCAUCUGUAAAUAGGGAUAAUAAUGCAUUGACCUCACAGAGAAAUUCAUCCAUAAACAUGCCAAAACAGAUGUGCCUUCCUCUAUGCACCCCGCAUCACUGAACCAUAGUGAAUCGUCAGAUGAAAUCAGUUCCAGAUUGUGCCUGCAGACAUGCUCCCUUCACCACCUGUCAUUUUGAGGACCUCUGAGAAGCAGCUCUUACAGUCGCCUUCCCAGAGCUCACAGAAAACUCACAAAGUAAAAUAUUUGCCUAUCAGCACUGAAUAGGAAGUCAAUCCAGAGGCUCUUGAAAGGAAAUGGGUCCCAAAGAUCUUCCUACCUGGGAGCCCAAGACCUCUACUGCCAGCGGGCCCAGUGUCAGGGAAAAGGAGUUACAAAUCCUGAAUACUGACUGACAUGUUAGGGCAACAAACUGCAAGCUCAGGAAAGCUUGCAUCUGACUGGGACAACCCUGACAUGUACACUGAAUCCGGACAGGCUCUGUUUCGGGGAAAGAUGACUGCAAGGACCUGUCUUUCAGCAGCAGGAGGAGAGACAGCUGCCCUCAGAAGGAAGGAGAGAAGUCAUACAAAGAACCCAGGGCCCAUUGAUCCUAAGGUGAGCCCCAGAAGAACCAAGAAAUGAGUGGAUUCUACCACACUUGGGACCAGGUGUGCUCUACUACAUUAUUGUUGUGGUUGCUCCUAGGGGCUCCUUUCAGGGGCGAGCACUGCAUUGUGUUUGGUAUGUGAGGUGUGGAGAGCUCUCUAGUCAACAUGUCCUGAACAAGAAGCCUUUUUUUUUAUUGUUACUA